CUCGGUCACGGGUAUUCUUGGGUUAAUAAUAUACUAUUUCUAUAUUAUUGCUUGAGAAUACACGUGACUGAG
rfam:Branchiostoma floridae genomic scaffold BRAFLscaffold_114, whole genome shotgun sequence.